GACAGCUCAGUUAACCUAAUGUUUAGCUGUUUAUGACCCAGUAGACAGCUCAGUUAACCUAAUGUUUAUGACCCAGAAGACAGCUCAGUUAACUUAAUGUUUAGCUGUUCAUGGACAGCUCAAAUUCAGCUCAAAAUUCAGCAUAAAACCCCAAAGAGCCAGCAAUGCAGAGGCAGAAGCACAGUGGCUAGGAAAAACUCCUUGGAAGACAGCUCCCCCUAGAGGUAGUAUUGGGACUAACAGAGUAGAGAUGUGUGUGUUCGUACUCCUCUUUGCAGGUCAACCAGAUGCUCCAAAACUUUCACCUGGAUGUGGCCGGUAACCUUGACUACAAGAACCUGUGUUACAUCAUCACCCACGGAGAGGACAAGGAGAAUAAGAGGGCGCACGUAGAGAUAGAGGACUAGAUGGAUAUGACCUUUUUUAACAUUGGCAUUUCUAUUGAGGGAUUCCACCAAGAUGAGUCGUCUAUCUAUCUCUAUAGCGGGGUGCUGUCAGGGAAAGGAGCAAGAAGUUGAAUGGAGGAGGGAAGGGAUGAGGGGGGAUUUUGUAAAUAGCCUAUAACCAGAUAACGACACUACUAGUCACCCUAGGCAGACCGGUUGCCUCCUACAUUGACAAAGUUCCGACAUACACUAGGUCUGGGAUUUCCUAGACUACUGUACUACUACAACAGAGCUAGUGACUAGUGGGUUAUAACAACAGUGACUAGGGAGUUAAAACAACAGUGACUAGGGGGUUAUAACAACAGUGACUAGGGGGUUAUAACAACAGUGACUAGGGGGUUAUGACAACAGUGACUAGGGGGUUAUAACAACAGUGACUAGGGGUUUAUAACAACAGUGACUAGGGGGUCAUAACAACAGUGACUAGGGGUUUAUAACAACAGUGACUAUUGGUUUAUAACAACAGUGACUAGGAGUUAUAUCAACAGGUAGUGACUAGGGAGUUAUAACAACAGGUAGUAACUAGGGGUUAUAACAACAGUGACGAGGGGAAAAUAACAACAGGUAGUGGCUAGGGGUUAUAACAACAGAUAGUGGCUAGGGGUUAUAACAACAGAUAGUGACUAGGGGUUUAUAACAACAGGUAGUGGCUAGGGGGUUAUAACAACAGGUAGUGGCUAGGGGGUUAUAACAACAUUGACUAGGAGAAAAUAACAACAGGUAGUGACUAGGGUGUUAUAACAACAGUGACUAGGGGAAAAUAACAACAGGUAGUGACUAGGGGUUUAUAACAACAGGUAGUGACGAGGGUGUUAUAACAACAGGUAGUGGC
ensembl:lncRNA